rnacentral:tRNA from 1 species
GCAGUGGUAGUUCAGUUGGUUAGAAUACCGGCCUGUCACGCCGGGGGUCGCGGGUUCGAGCCCCGUCCGCUGCG